UUAAAGAAGCGGGGAUCGAACCCGCAGCCAAGAAAUCAAAAUUCUUCGUUUUCCCUAUUAAACUACUCCUUA
rnacentral:tRNA from 1 species